rnacentral:lncRNA from 1 species
ACAAAAUCAGCCCAUUUCUCAUUGAUAUGGCCAGCCAAAGCAGAACAAAGGAGGAAAGGAAAAAAUCAAGAACCCUAGGUGGGAAAAUUGAAGAAAAAGUGUGGGAUUUCAAGGGAUUAAGCUAAUAAAGGUAAAAUUUCUUGAUUUUGAAUUGUGAUUUACACUACCCAUGCUUUCUUUUUCAUUUUCCAUGGUUAGAUUUCAUGUUUUCAUGGUGAAUUCAUGGCUGGUUGGAAUGGGUAUGGAGAGAGAAUGAAGUUGGAUUGAUUUGAUUCUAAGUUAUGUUAGUGUUUUUAGUUAGUUUAUCAUGUCUAGAAACAAACCAACAAGAAAAAUUCAUUUUCUCCCAUUACCCAUCAUUGGCCGAAUUUUCUAGGGAGGAUAUUGUGGCUGAAAUUGAUGAUAUUUCAUGAUAUUUUGGUGAAAUUUGAUGUUUGGUAAGGCUAGAAAUUAAAUGGAAAAUUUUGGUGUGAAAAUCUGAAUUUUUGCUUAACGUAUAGACAUGUGUGAUUAUUGACCCGGGACUGAUAAAUUGAAUCUCAUUCACAGUCACUGAGGUAAUUUAGGUAUAAUUGGAGUGUAGAAAGUGAGAAGAAUUGAUUUGGAGUUAAAUUGGAGAUUUUAGCCGAUUAGACCGAGUAUAGUGUGACUUAGGUCGAAUAUCACAUUUAAGUGAUUAAUCAGACAUUUUGCAUUCCAUCGCAUGCAUUCAUUUAGAUUUAGAGAGCCUGAAAUAGUUUAUGAUAAAUUGACACAAUUUAUUGAAAUUCAUGUCACGUAUGAUGUAUAAGUGGUGAGCCUUGUAACAAGGGUAAAGAGAUUGUGCCUGAAGACCGGGAAUAGGAGUAUAUCGAACUCCUUGUAUAGUGAGUAACCUUACUAUCGUCUUAAUUAUCUAGAGUGGUUCUUAUUCGAUUUUGUGGAUUUUAUGAAAAAUGAGUUUAAAUGGGAAAUCUUUUUGUUUUACAAACAAAACGUGUUUAAAUAAAAUGAUUUUAUAAAUUGUCUUGAAAUUGAAUGAUGACUUUGAAAAUAGAGUAACUGGAGACCACUUGAGGUGUUGGAAUUUCAUGGUUUGAAUUGACUGGCUUAUGACAAUAUUUGCAUGAAUGGCUGAAUUGGUAUUUGUGUUGAAAUAUGUGAACUGUGUAUUUAGCCUUGAAAGGUUGUGAAUUACAAUAAUUGCCAUAUCAUGUUAUUGAAUUUAUUGAUUGGUGGGAUAAUGAUGAGCUUACUACAGUGGGCAGGUUUUCGUGGAUCAGCCUAUUAGAGGGGCACAGUAAACCCCAUUAUAUCUUACCUCAGUAUGAGAGGCACGGGUGGAUAACUCCUGAGGCUAACACUUCUAGAGUUCACUUCACGCCAAACUAUCACGUGAGGGUGAACUCAGCCAACGCCAAGGAACGACUAUGUUUUCAAAAUAAAAAUAUAAUUUAUGCGUACAUGACUUUUUAACAGCCUUGGCGGACUCUGUUGGGAUAUCCCUCGAUCAAGGCAUCCCUGAUAACUGAGUAUGAGAAUAAUUUUUGGCAUGAGCCAAGCUUUUUAGGAAAUCAUAAGCCUAGUUGUUUAUUUGGUUGAAAUAAGUUGAAAGGUAAUGAAAUUAUAGUAUAAUGAUUUAUUUUAAUUGUCUCCAUUUACUCGGUUUUAGAUAUUUUAGAUGGUAUUUGUUUACUCACUAGGAUUAUAUAAUCUCACCACCCUUCUUUCCACCCAUUUCAGGCUCAGGAUAGUGUGUAGAUAGCUGAUAUCGUCGAAGGCUAUAGUCGGCUUUACUACUCCAAAAACUGUAGGUUUACUACUUUUGUACACUUUUAUUCCUUGUGGGCCCACGAGUCACUGUAAAGUAAAUUUCAUAUCCCGGUUAUCUGUAUUGUAGUACGUAUGAAUUUAUUUAGCUUUUACAUUACAAAAAAAAAAUUUAAUUACCGAUGACUCUAUAAAUAUUGUUUUACAAAAAAUUAGAAUAUUUUAAUGAAUAUUUUUAUUUUAUUCAAAUAGUUGCAAUAUCAUUUUUAAUAAAUGCUUUAGACACUCAAAUUUAUUUUAAAUCAUGAAAUAUGUGUUUUUCACUCAUUUACUACAUUUUUAGUCGAGUUCGAAAAAUUUAGAGGAAAAAUGACGAAAACGCCCCUGUGAGGUGAAAAUUAUUUUUCCACGAUUUUGAAAGGAAAAAAGCUUACAAUUCUUUAAAAACAAGGUUUGCCUAUGAUUACUCACAAGGGAGAUGAGAAAAAUGGUACUAAAGCCUUGCGGGAUUCCGGUUGGCACUCCGGGUAACGAAUGUCUACCGGGACGUCGCGGGGGUUGUCACGAGGCUCGAGGGGAGUACCGGGUUGUGACAAAAGAGCUUCCCCAACACUUGUAUUUUUUCUUAUAGAAAGAUGGAAGAUGAGAAAAAAAAACAAAAAGAGUUCACUUGACUUGGGAUGUGAUACCAUAUACUUAAUAAAUUUUAUGAAAUAAAUGAGCCCACAACUGUUCAUGAUUCUUCAUCGCAUUUUCAAUCCACAACCGAGUCCAGCCCACAAUUGGUCAACUCAUCUUCAAUCCAUAGUCGAGCAAAGCUACCCUCCGAAUCAAAAUAGAUAGAGCAAGGAAUUGAAUGAGAAUAUGGAAACCAUUUUGAUCAUUAGCAACACUCUAGAGGGCUCCACAGCAUUGCUGAUUCGAAUGCUUGUAGCCUGUAAGAAGUGGAUAUAAUUGAUGAGCUCUCUCUUUUUAAAACUACAAGAAAUGUUACUUUCAUAAAUGACAUAUUGUUAAGAACUUUGAUCUCAAUCUAAUAAAAAUAUUUGAAACUCAACUUUCAAAUAUAUUUGAGCAUGAAUAAAUAGGUUUGUAACAAGGAAGAAGUUACAUGGUCGUCCACACGUGACCAAUUUAAAAAACAACUUUACCAAUUGCUUUUUAAUUCAUGUUUAAUGCAUUAUUUAAACGC